UCUUUUGCUCAGAUUUCCGGAUUAAUAUGGAAGGGGUAAACAGAUGAUUAGUUGUUUAUUUUUCGUUUACUUUACUCUGGUUUAGUGGUUUAACCUCACUUAACUAGAUAGAGUGAAAUAUUAAAUUACUAUUACUAUUAUUAUUCAGGUUGAAAAAUGCCUUCCUGUAAGGUAAAAGGUUGCGAAGUCGAUUGGGGAAAAAUAAUGUGAAAAUGAAUUCUUUCCCAAAAGAAUCUGAACGACGGAAAGUGUGGAUUAAAAAUAUAGGGUUAAAACAAGAUCCAAACAAAUAUGCUGUUGUUUGUGAAAAAAACUGUAAAUAGUAUUUAAGGCAACGAUUGUGAAUGAGUGAGAAGUCUAAUAAAGCCACGACGAGAUACUGUAUUAGAGCGUACGAUUUGGAGGUAUUUUUGAUUAGAUAAAUUUUGUAAAGUACAAUAUAAGUUAGAUUUGAUAAUGUGUAGUAUUUCCUAAUAAAUUAAAUACUAUUAAGUGUUUAUUGUUCUUGUAAGUUAGUGUGGUAAAUAAAUAAUAUGAAGUAAG
rnacentral:misc_RNA from 1 species